AACGCAUCUUGCGCCCUUUGGUAUUCCAAAGGGCACACCUGUUUGAGUGUCAUGAAUGCCUCAACUUUGUGAAUGUUUUGUUGUGAAGCUUCACUAAGUUGGAUCUUGGAUGCUGUUGACCUGCUACUAGUUCAACUCAUCUUGAAUUGAUGAGUGGCCAUUUCCAUCAUAGUGUGAUUGGCCUGGCAUAAUAGUUAUGUGCUUGUCAGCCAAAAUGCUAUUAGGAUGUGCUCCUAGUGAUCCAUUAACAUUGGUCUUAGACCUCAAAUCAGGUGGGACUACCCGCUGAACUUAA
rnacentral:misc_RNA from 1 species